CCAAACUGUUGCCUCGGCGGGAUCUCUGCCCCGGGUGCGUCGCAGCCCCGGACCAAGGCGCCCGCCGGAGGACCAACCAAAACUCUUUUUGUAUACCCCCUCGCGGGUUUUUUUAUAAUCUGAGCCUUCUCGGCGCCUCUCGUAGGCGUUUCGAAAAUGAAUCAAAACUUUCAACAACGGAUCUCUUGGUUCUGGCAUCGAUGAAGAACGCAGCGAAAUGCGAUAAGUAAUGUGAAUUGCAGAAUUCAGUGAAUCAUCGAAUCUUUGAACGCACAUUGCGCCCGCCAGUAUUCUGGCGGGCAUGCCUGUCCGAGCGUCAUUUCAACCCUCGAACCCCUCCGGGGGGUCGGCGUUGGGGAUCGGCCCUGCCUCUUGGCGGUGGCCGUCUCCGAAAUACAGUGGCGGUCUCGCCGCAGCCUCUCCUGCGCAGUAGUUUGCACACUCGCAUCGGGAGCGCGGCGCGUCCACAGCCGUUAAACACCCAACUUCUGAAAUGUUGACCUCGGAUCAGGUAGGAAUACCCGCUGAACUUAAGCAUAUCAAUAAGCCGGAGGAA
rnacentral:rRNA from 1 species